AGUCGGCAACGAAGGCAGUCGAAGAGACGCUCCUUCCCCGGCUGCUUCGGUUUUAGUAAAUGGCGAAGUCGAAGAACCACACCGCUCACAACCAGUCGUACAAAGCCCAUAAGAACGGGAUCAAGAAGCCUCGAAAGCAUCGCCACACCUCCACCAAAGGGAUGGAUCCGAAGUUUCUGAGGAAUCAGAGGUAUGCAAGGAAGCAUAACAAGAGUAACGGUGCCUCAGGUUCUGAGAUGGAGGAGUAGAGCAUGAACACAGUGCAAGAUGGUUUUUUUCAUUUGGAUGUUCUUGUGCUUUUUGACUGUUAGACUGUCUUGGAAUGAUGUCGAUUAAACUUCAUAUGAACAAAAUUUGUCAUUUUUAUAUUGCUUUUCCAACCACGUUGAAAACUUUUAGUGCAAAGUAGUAUUUAUGUUGCAAUAUGUUCUGAUUUCAUG